GCAUUUCUAGCGUAGGUUGGGAAGCCGACACUCCCCGGUAACUGGCAGGGGGAGGCGGUUUGCGGGACGCUGCCGGGGGGCGCUGAGCUUUGUGCCAACCUCUCCCAGCGUCCGGCCAGCCAGGAGAAAGCUGCGAAUGCAGGAGGGGAUGAAGGCGGAGAAUGGGUGAGGAAGGAAGGGGCUGGGAAAUGGGAAGAGGUCGUUCUGCCCCCGAAACUACAUAAUGGCUGGGAAGGACCGCCAAACAAGACUGGAACCAGUAGGAAGUUGUACGGUAGGAAGAAGAGGAUGGCCAAGAUUUACUGGUUGAAAGACGAGACAGCUCCCUUCUGAUGCUUUCUAUCUGCCUUUGAAAUUCAUCAGCUAAGGGUGAGGAAGAGAUGGGAGAAUUGGAGUUUGAUUAUGUCAUAGAAGGUGAUGAGUAAGCAAACAGUAGAGGGGAGAAAAGGUCAUUCUUUGGAACAGCUGCAAGUUUGAUACCUUUGGUGCAUAUCUGCGAUAACCCUGAAGAGAGAAAAAGUCUACAGACUGUCUUUUGCAUGUAACAGAAGCUGGUACAUUUGAAGGGAUUUCUUCCAUGCCUUUUCUUAUUGGGAGUACAGAGGAGGUUUUGCAAUAGCUGUUUCCUCCCCAGUCACAUUCAAUCCUGCAGAAGCCAUUUGUACAGCAAGUGAGUACCAGAGCAUGCAACUAUACAGUUCAGUUGUGUUGGAGGACCUCACCAUCAGGUCUCGCUCCCUCUUAGUAAGUGUCAAGAGAGACCAAGGCCACUGUUGCUUCUUCCAAAUUCCAUUUUAUAAGGACUCUCAAUUUUAAAGUUGAGAAGAUGGAUCAUAUGCCUAUCUGCUUCCAGUGUCCUCUUGCUUCCAGGCUGAAGGAGCUGUGUUCUCCAGGACAUAGUUCCAUGGACCCCAGCUUCAAAAAACAUGACUCUACAGUGUGAAAUAAUUGAGGGUAAGCACUGCGAAUUUUUUUUUUUUUGGGGGGGGGCCACACCCACAGGAAUGUGGAAAAUCUCAGGCUAGGGGUUAAAUCGAAGCUGCAACUGCCAGCCUACACUAUAGCCAUAGCAACUUGGGAUCCAAGCUGGGUCUGUGACCUACACCACAGCUCAUAGCAACGCUGGAUCCCCAACCCCACUGAGUGGAGCCAGAAAUGGAACCCAGAUCUUCAUGGAUAUUAGCCAGAUUCAUUUUCACUGUGCUGCAACGGGAACUCCAGCACUGUGAAUUUGGGACAUGAUGUCUCCCACACUGAGUAGAUAGUCCUGUACAUAUUGAGUCCUGAAAACACUGAAUGAAUGAAUCAAAUAGCCUUUUUUGGAGAUCCACUGUACUGGUAGUAUGCUAUGUGUUUUAUGUAUGUUCUUUCAUUCUUCUAAUGUUGUUCUAUGGCUGAGGAAACUGAAGCUAACUAGAAGUAAAAGAAGCUGAAGAUCUAGAAUUGACAAGCAUAGAAAGGAGAUAUGACUAGAUCUGAAGUUCAAGGGGAGGACUCCUGCAUGAGCAGGGCCUUAGUCUGGGUGUUGAGACAUGUUGUGAGAUUCACCAUCAUGGCUCAGCUGGUCCUAGUUCCAGGCCCAGCUGUGGGGGGCCAUCACCUCUGAGGUCUUCUCAGGCCACCAUGUGGCAGCACCAUUGUCAGGCACUUGUUGUCAGUGACAAAAAUGGACUUCCUAUUUGCUCCUUCUAAUAGCCCCUUAAAAUAACACAUGAGUCUUUCAUAGUUUUAGCUUCCACUUGAGAACCUGCAUUCAGACUAAAACCUUUUUGUUGUGGUUGAGAUUGAUUUGCAAUCUGAUUCUUGCAUUAGAUAGCCAUUCUUAGGCUAUUAGGAGCCCCAUAGAAAAUUGCUCCAAUGGAUCCAUAUCACUUUGGGAAGUUCCCGUGGAAUUGUUCUUCCGGAGAAAUGAUAAAAACUCUGGGUCAGUCGCUAGAGUGUCAGCAGAUUGAAUGGCCAAAAGAGAAUGCCUCCCAUCUGUGGCCCUGAAGUGCUGGGUCAGCAGAGGAAAGUGGUUAAAAUAAUUACCGUGGAGUCAGGGAAUUUGGCAGAUUUGGGAGAUCACACAUGUAAAGGGACCUUUUUUCCUCCGUUUUCUUAUCUCAGACCCAUGUGAAUUGAUGAUCAUGAGGGCACCAAGGGGACAGAAAUAGACGUUAUCCUGCUCCGGUCCCAAACCGGGAAGAAAGAAAUAACCAACCCUACUUCUCUACAUGGGUGGAAUGAGGGCUGACCAGUAUGCAAAUGGCAGCAGACAUAUGGUUAUGUUCUGAUUAGCUACUAGUGAUUUGAAGCCAUGCAUAUGUAUCAACUGCUGAUGUAUGUAUGGACAAUACAUCUGUUUACACAAAUAGACUUGAAGCAUUUUUUUUUCCAUUUUUCUUAAGGAUCUAGUACUGGAUGCCCAUAGGAAAAGAUGUUUUACUUCCUUUUCCCAUUAAUUUUGAUCAGCCAGAAUCAAACUACUUUGUUUUCUCUUAUUCUUACUUUUGUGAAGGAACUUUUUCUUUGUGUGUGUAGCUUUACUAACCAUAUUGUUUGGGCUCUUGAAAAAGGAGGUAUGGGAGUUCCCAUUGUGGCCUAACAAGAUUGGCAGCAUCUCUGGAGUACUGGGAUACAGGUUAAGUCCCCGGCCCAGCACAACAGAUUAAGGAUCUGGCAUUGCCUCAGCUAUAGCAUAGGUUGAAACUGCAGCUCGGAUCUAAUCCCUGGCCUGGGAACUCUAUGUGCCAUGGGGUAGUCAAAAAAAAAAAAAAAAAAAAAAAAAAAA
rnacentral:lncRNA from 1 species